rnacentral:misc_RNA from 1 species
AUCGGGUGUAAGGCCAAUUUGGGCUACAAAAUGUAAAUGUAGAGUAAGCCGACAAUACUGAAAUACACAUAAAAACUAAAUUAUCAUAGGCUGCAUUUGAAUACAGCAUUUGAAAUCCAAAUAUUUCAAUCCAAUCUUCUAGCUCAAUUUGAUAAAUAAAGACCUCAAUUAGUAAAGGCAAAUUAAAUUCUAUAACAAUCUCAGCAAAUGUAUAUGAAAUUGUCAUCUCUGUAUGCAUUUUAAUUUUCUCUCUCAAAAGAAAAAAAUAUAUAUACCCUUCAAAAAGUUCUUAUCACCAUUGAAGAAUAGAUCUCCAUGGAUAAGUCUAAUCAACCUCUAAAAGAAAAAGGAAUCAAAAGCAUAUAUAUUUUAAAGCUCAUUUUAAUAAUUUGAAGCCAAAAAUAAAUUAAAAAAAAAUCCAAAUGUUACCUUAAAAUAAUAAGUUUCUAAGAACAAGACAAGGUUAAACAAAUCAAAAUAUUAAACAUCAUAACUACUAAUCAUAUUGGACAACAAUAAAUCCAAUUCUUUAUGAAACUGAACAAUAAAUCAGGUAGCCAUGGGUGCAUCCAAUGUAAGUCCAGUUGAUGGCUAACAGCUAACUUGAAUUCUAAUUUAUAUCACCAACUUCUUCACCACUCAUUGACCAAGCACAGGCACUUCCAGAAACCAUGGCCCCAACAUUUUACCAAACAUAUUAAAACCGUCUAACCAUUCCUUAACAAAAGUACUGGUCGCUCAAUGGCUCAAGGAUGAGCUAACCUUACAAAACUCAGUGUCAAAUGCAAUUAAGGGGGUAACCAGUAUUCACCUAUUGAUGAAAUAACACAAU